GCAAGCUCGAUGCAGCCAUGCCGCGUGUGUGAAGAAGGCCUUCGGGUUGUAAAGCACUUUCAGUCAGGAGGAAAGGUUAGUAGUUAAUACCUGCUAGCUGUGACGUUACUGACAGAAGAAGCACCGGCUAACUCCGUGCCAGCAGCCGCGGUAAUACGGAGGGUGCGAGCGUUAAUCGGAAUUACUGGGCGUAAAGCGUACGCAGGCGGUUUGUUAAGCGAGAUGUGAAAGCCCCGGGCUCAACCUGGGAACUGCAUUUCGAACUGGCAAACUAGAGUGUGAUAGAGGGUGGUAGAAUUUCAGGUGUAGCGGUGAAAUGCGUAGAGAUCUGAAGGAAUACCGAUGGCGAAGGCAGCCACCUGAGUCAACACUGACGCUCAUGUACGAAAGCGUGGGGAGCAACAGGAUUAGAUACCCUGGUAGUCCACGCCGUAAACGAUGUCUACUAGAAGCUCGAGCCUCGAUCUGUUUUUCAAGCUAACGAAGUGAGUUGGCCGCCUGGGGAGUAUGGUGCAAGCCGCAAACUCAAAGUAU
rnacentral:rRNA from 1 species